AUUGAACGCUGGCGGCAGGCCUAACACAUGCAAGUCGAGCGAGCGGCGGACGGGUGAGUAAUGUAUGGGGACUGCCCGAUAGAGGGGGAUAACUACUGGAAACGGUGGCUAAUACCGCAUACUAUCGGAUAACCCAUAUGGGAUUAGCUAGUAGGUGGGGUAAAGGCUCACCUAGGCGACGAUCUCUAGCUGGUCUGAGAGGAUGAUCAGCAACGCUGGGACUGGAACACGGCCCAGACUCCUACGGGGGCAGCAGUGGGAAAUAUUGAACAAUGGGCGAAAGCCGGAGGCAGCCAGGCCGGGUGUAGGAAGAAGGCCUUAGGGUUGUAAAGUACUUUCAGCGGGGAGGCGUUACCCGCAGAAGAAGCACCGGCUAACUCCGUGCCAGCAGCCGCGGUAAUA
rnacentral:rRNA from 1 species